rnacentral:lncRNA from 1 species
GUUGAGCUUGACCAUUUGGCUUCCCCAACAGUUUUAAAAUAGUUUGAUGACAUCUUAAGUGCGAAUAAGGUAAGAAGCCCCGAUGCCUUGUAUCAUACUGUCUGCUUGUUAUCUAGUAUAAAUUAGAUUUCUUUGAUUUGUAUUGUUAAUAUAGAUAUUACCUUAUUGUUAUUUUUUGGUCCAGUCAUGUGGAAAUUUUUUAAUGUUAUUUGUUCAUUCAAGUUUCUCAAAAUAUUAGGUGUGGUUUUCUCAUUCUGUAUUGGUCUUUCUAUAGUCCUUUUUAGUUGGUUUAGAAAUAUAUUUGGUUUGAUUAUAGAUUUAAGUGAUAUUACCAAUGAAUAUUUCUGGAUUCAGAAUAAAUUAUGUUUCACUUGCCUAGUAAUGAAUUACCAAUGAAUAUUCGUGGCAGAUAUUGAGUAUGCAAUUAGAGUCCAUCUUUUGGAAAAGUCAGUCGAAUAUAUUUCCCAAAUAUUAUGUGUUUGAAUAUAUUCUAGUAGUAGCAGCCCCGAGUUGGAAGGGCUGAGAACAACCGGGUUGCAGAGAAUGGAAAUGGUAGAUCCAUUUAUGUUAAGGUGAAGAUGGAAAUAGUAGCAAUAACAAGAAAGAUUGAUAUAAAGCUUUAUCACUCUUAUCAAUCACUUACCGACUCCUUGAUCACCAUGUUUUCCAAAGGUAAAGUCAUUGAUUAUAUACAUAAAUUCUGAUUACAUGAUUAAUUAUAUGAUCAAUGACUUUUGUCGAAACAAAUUCUGAUUCUUACUUUAUGGUGGCAUUAUUAAAAAUUUAUCUUUCCAUAUCACAAUUCAAAGAGAUCAGAUAAUGUACUUUGACAUAUGUGGCUUUGAGGGUCGUAUAAGUGAUUUCCUUACUGGCCUGACUUUGGCUUAUAGGUGCAUACUUUGGCUUUCUGUUCCGAUGUUUUGGAUUCUCUGGUUGUUGAAUUGAAAGCAUCAAAGGACUUCUCUAAGUUAUAUGCAGGCAUUGCAAUACUUUGGUUUCAUCUAAGCUUGAACCAACCCUAUGUUGUAUAUUGUUUCUUCUUCUUUUCUGAUCUUUUUCCUUUGAUUAAUGAGAGGUGAUGAUUAUUUGGCAUUCUUUUCUCACCAGGAUGAAUUUUGUUUUAGAAAUAGUAAUACUUUGUGAGUGUGUUUGUAUGUUUUUUUAUGUAUUAAAUUAUAUAUUGAAUCAAUGUUUAUGUAUUAAAUUUAAAUUCAUUAAUUUUUAUAUUUAGUUUUAAAGUUAAAAUUUUAAUAGAAAAUUUAAUUCCAUUAAUAUUUUUUAUUUAUCCUUAAAAGUAUAUAGUUUAAAGUUCAACUUUCAAAAAUUAAACAUAAUAUAAUAUUUAUCAUAGAAAUAAAUAUUAUUUAAUUAAAAUAAAUUUUUUAAAGGUCAUGUUCUUUAGCGGCGUUUGUGAGAAAAGCGUCGCUAAAAGUCUAUUUUAUAGUUGCAUUUGUGGGAAAAGCGCCGCUAAAGGUCAUGUUCUUUAGCGGCGUUUUUGGGAAAGCAUCGCUAAAGAUCAUGUUCUUUAGCGGCGUAUGUCGAAAAAGUGCCGCUAAAGAUCAUGUUCUAUAGCGGCAUUUUUUUCAUAAACGCUGCAAAAUGUUAGUGGCGUUGUCUUUAGUGGCACUUAUAGGCCCAAAAAAAUGCCGCUAAAAACCUGUUUUGCUGUAGUGGGUAUUAUUUCAAUGCCUUCAAACUUGCUUUUUUUAAAAGGAUAAUUAUUUACUAUAUAAUGAAACUUAUUUGCAGUGUGGGUUGUUGAACUUAUCAAAUUAUACUACCUAGAAAGGUGGGCCUAGGUUUUGGCUUUUGUGCUAUAUUGCUUUUUUCAUCAUACAAGAUCCUUUAUUGUUCUAAUAGCUAUUACUGUCAUUAUGUUUUGCAUGACAGUGAGUGCAAUUACUAUAGAACAUGGUUCCUUCUUCUGUCUUGUAGAAAAUAUUUUUUUAAUGUAAUGUAUAUUUCUAUUAAUGCAAUGCAUAUUGCUUUUUAUUGGAAUCUUGUCCCUAGAUCAUAUGGUUAUGCUACCUCAAGCCAUAAUGUUAAAGCUCCAAUCAACUCGAUGCUUCAAGUCCAUGUCAUGAUCUUAUUCUACAUCCAUUAGCGUCUAGAGCAUUUGGUGCAACCCUCGAAAACUAUAUGCAUUAUGCUAUUUCUUCCGAUUAUGAUACACAGAGUAUCCAACGAAUUGGGGGUGGUUUUAUUGAUCUCACAAUGAGUGGUGGAAAAGGACCUCAUAAGUGAAAAAGCCCUACAUUCCCUUAUGUCUAUGAAGUGGUGGUUCUAGCAGAUAUGUAUGACUUGGGUAUUCAUUUAAUCUUCCUCUCUCUUCUGACUUAUGCCAAGAGAAACCUAAUAUAGGUCCUCAACACAUGCACUAAGAUCAUGUUGUCAUGCCCCCAAGUUAUAGAGGCAAUAACAUUUCAAUUAGGGGUGAGGGUUCUACAAGGAAUGCUAGAAGUUGUCCAACACUUGAUCUUCAAUCCAACCUAGUCAGAGUGCAUAUACUAAGCAAUCUUUUACACACUUCCCAUUCUACAAGCCACCCAAUUGAUUAUUCUAGAUCGGUAGACCUCUCAGGUCAAAGCUCUAAUACUUUGUCUAGUGAGUGGGAGUGGGGCCAUUUGAGAAUGUCCCCUAUCCAUGGAAGGAUUCAAGCUUCAGAUAACUUAGUUAAAUAUAUUUCUAUGAUGUUUUAAUUCUCCCAUUAUUUUUGAGUCCGUUACCUAUGAAUUUCAUAUCCAGGUGAUCUUAAUCAUGAGACAAACCACUUUCUGGGAGGUAGCGGUGUUACAAAUGGUUCUAUAGAGUUUGAGAGACUUCAGCAUGAUUUAAUUUCAAGUGGAAAUCCCAUUCUUCCUUAUAGUUUCCAUGGAAGCUCGGGACAUUCUAUGAGGGGUGUUCGCACAAACUACUCUUAUAGAUUUAGCCCGGCUUUCAUGGCUUCUUUCAACAAGGUGUGAUUAGGAUAUGUAGGAUGCUCAGAAGAGGGGAUGCAGAUUGUUACUGGGAAAUAUUCCUUUAGACAUCCUGGCCAUUUUCAGUUAUAACAUGGCAUAAUAAUGAUCGGGUUUGGCGGUCAAGGACAUUUAAUGAAAGAUAUCGAUCUCCAGCUGAUGAUGCAAAAUUUUCCAUGAUCAAUUUACUUAUAAGGUGUUUUCCUCUUAUGUGGGACAAAUGGUUUUGCUUAGGAAACUUGGGUAGACUUAUUACAUGUCCUCUAUUAAUAGUAUGAAAGGUUAUUUGAUAUAGUGUUCAGCAUGUUGGAUCUCUUCUGAGAGUGUUGUACUACUUCUUAGUAGUGCACUUUUUGACUUAUUUGUCUAAAGUAUCAUUCUUUGUCAAUUAAUAGUGGCUUGUUCUGUUGAUGACUAGACUAUCAAUAGUCAUUACAUUUUAUGAUUCUAAUCUAGCCAAAUGUUUCAAAUGAAGUGUUUGGCCAUGAGAUAAAUUUUAUCUUGCCAACUAACUUCCUUGAUUUUGUGACUUACAACACAUUAGUUGAUUGUUACAAUGUGUUCUCAAUAUGUCCUGAUUGAGGACCGCUCAGCCUUUUUUGAAUCAAGAUAUAUGUUCAAUCAGCAGGGAGAGAUGAUGUUGGACAUAGAAAACAUGAAUUAUGAGGUGUGUACAUAUAUUUCCUUUCUCAAUUAAAGUUUGAUUUCAUUCUUAUUUGUGUUGUGUUAUAAGUGAAGUUGGAUUUUAACUGUAACAACCCAUUUUUAGUCAAAUCGGAAUAGUGGUUUUGGGACCACAAAUCUGAGGUAAAAAUAUUUAUUUUAUUACUAUUUUAAGGUCUAUAGCAUGAAUAUAUGAUCGUGUGAAAGUUUCAUUUAGAAAUUUUAUCAUUUGACUGCUUAUACGGUAAAAAAGGACUAAAUCACGUAAAGUGUAAAAAUGGAGUUCAAUUAGCUAAAAGUGUUUAAUAGCUAUAGAACCUUAAAGUUAAGGUCCUUAUGUUGCAAUUAGACCAUUAAUAGCAUGAGUAGACAUAUAUGGACAUAUAUUAAGGUGUUUUAAAUGAUUUUAUAUAAGGUUAAUAUACUAAUUCAUCAAAUAAAGAUUAAAUAAUUAAAACAAAAGAAAAAAAAAUUUCAUUCAUCUUUCUUCCAACAGAAAUUAAGAAAGAAAAGAAGCCAUGGUUCAGCUUUGAAGGUUCGACUAAUGCAUGCUUCAAUUGUAAGUGAUUUUUUGACCCGAUUUUUAGUGAUUUUUAUGUUUAUGAGUUUGUUGUAGCUCAAUCUAUCUAGCCCGUACCUUCGAUUUCAAAACCGUUAACAUUUGUGAGAGUUUCCAUUGAUGUACAUAUGUGUUCUAUGAUGAUUAUGAUGAAUUGUGAAUGUUGGAUGAUAGAUAUACAAAUUUAGUUAAGUGAUUUUUAGUGAAAAUGCAAAAUAGGGAUUAAAUUGAGAAAUGUGUGAGUUAGUGGUUAAAAUGUGGAAUAAAUGAAAAAUAUAGGCUGCUAGGGGCAUAAUAGUAAUUCGGGUAGAAUGGGUAUUUUGGAAUUUCAUUAAUUUGUGAUUUUAUGGAAUAAGACUAGGGGAAAAAGUGUAGAUGUGUUUUAAAGUGUGUUUUGGACUAAAUUGAAUAAAUAGAGGAUUGAUUAAGUCAAUUUUGAAUAUAUUUAGAUCAAAAAAGGAGAAAUACGGACUUAGAUGGUGAAAAGAAUAAAGUAACAGAAUAGUUGACUCGAUUAGCCGUUUUAGCAUCCGAGGUAAGUUCGUAUGUUAUUGAUCGCGUGAUUUCGUGAUAGGUUUUAAAUAUUUAUAAUUAAUCAUUCUUGAAACUAACUAUUAUCGCGAUGUAGGCAAGUGUACCUAUCGAACAGUAGUAAAGUUUUAGCAAGGCCGGAUUGUUGAACCUAAAGGAACUAAAAGUACUAGUAAUAACUGUCUUUUUAUUAUCUAGCCUAGGAAUAAAAAGGUUUUGUUUUAACUAACUAAUUAUCUAAACUAAGAACUCACAGAGAAUAGAAUUAGGGGAUUGCUUUUGUGAAAAUCGAUUGAAUCAAGACAAUACCUAAGGAAAAAUCCACCUAGACUGCAUUUGUUAUUCUGGCUCCGAAUCGGAUGAUUUAUUCAUUUAACUUGUUCCGUAGUGAUCCCUAAGUUAUGUUAUUAUCCCUAUUCAAGACUAAUAACGUCUAAUCCCUAGAUUGAAUAAUUAAGACCUUUCUCUAAUUAACACCCUAGGGUUGCAUUAACUCGAUCUAUGGAUCCCCUUAUUAGGUUUCACCCUAAUCCGGUAAAAUCUUGUCACCCUAUGUCUAGGCGCGCAAACAACUCCGCUUAAUUAUGAGAAAUGUACUCUUAGAUAGGGUCUAUUCCUUCUCUGAAUAAGAGCUUAUCUUAAAUCAGUAUCCUGAGAUAUCAAAACAAGAAUUAAGAACACAUAAUUAAGAACAAGUUAAAUAUUUAUCACACAAUUCAGAAAAUAAUAACAAGGUUCGUCUUAGGUUUCAUUCCCCUUAGGUAUUUAGGGGAUUUAGUUCAUAACUAAAUAAGAAAACAUCUCAGAAAAAUAAAGAAUACAAAACAUAAAGAAAACCCAAAACUCUUGAAGGGGAAAUUGAAGAGGGAUCUUCAGUCUUGAUGAUGAAUCCGGCUUCUGAGAUGGAUCAAUCGGCUUUCUUGGAGUAAUUCCUUAAUCCCUAUUCUGUGUGUCCUCUUUCUUCCUCAUCUAGGGUGUAUUUAUAGGCUUUAGGAUGCCUAAGAGCCCUCAAAAGUGACAUUUUUUGAAUUGGACUCAACUUGGGCUCGGCAGGGACGCGCCCGUGUGUGAUUAUUUAAGGCCGUGUUCGAGCCUGUUAGAAUGGCAUGGGCGUGUGUUCUACCCGUGUGAGUCGUGCUCCGAUUCUGCCAAAUUGACACGGCCGUGUGGGCGGCCCGUAUGAGAAAGUCCAGGCCGUGUUGAUUUCGUACUUUUGCCCAUUUUCUCUGUUUUGGCCCGUUUCUCGUUCCUUUCACUCUUUUAUGCUCUUUUAAGUAUAAAACAUGAAAUUAAAGCAUUAGGAGCAUUGAAUUCACCAAUUCUAAUGGGAAAUCAUCCAUAAAAUGUGUUUAACAUGGGGUGAAAAUAUGUAUAAAUUACGGUUUAUCAAAUACGCCCACACUUAAGCAUUUGCUUGUUUUCAAGCAAAAUUCUCAACUCAUAAUCAAAAUAAAUUCUUCUCAAUUUAUAAUUUCUAUCGAUAAUAUCUCAAAAUAAUCCAUAGGUAAUCAUACAUUGAGAAUUCAACUAAAAGAACAUAAAAGUUUCAAACAUUCCAAGUUGAGUAUUUAAUCAUGUAAACAUAGGUGUCUCCCCUCAUCUAAGUAAUUACCAUUGAUUCAAAAUAUCACAAAGUUUCACAUCCUCGCUACAGAUUCACUCAAAUCACUCGAGGUGUUUAAGGACAAUAAAUGAAGCACUCAAUAGUCAAUAAUGAAAAGUCAUUACCAUAGGUUUGCAUGAAAAUCAAAUCUCCACCACUAUAAAUUGAAAUGAAACAUCAAUCAAAAGGUCUUUAGAAGGUAGUAACGAGGCUUGGUUAGGGGGUGUGGUCACAAGCUGAAAGAAAGGGAUAGGAUUGAGAUUGAAUUGAAAAAUUUCCUAACUAGAAAAAGGGUUAAUCAUUACUUGCGUACAAUAGGGCUUCUUCUUAGAAUAUGGAAUUACUACUGUGUAUACAUUUUUUUAAGAACAAGUUAAAUAACAUAGACUAACUAUUAAGAACAAGACAUAGCUAAGCAAUUUUUUAAACUCAAAUCUCGACAAAAAUAGAGAUUAAUUUAGUGGAUUUCAACAAUAAUGGGCUAAUAGUUAAUAUUAAGGGUAAUACAAGAAAUGGCUUGUUAGGCUCAAGGGGUUUACUAGGGGUUAAUCGUGGAGGUAGGCUUUUCAUGGCAUGAGUGGGUUAUUCCUAAGUGCCUUAAUCAUUUUGACAUAUCAAAUCAAUUGGUGUGGUCUUGACGUGCAUAAUCAAGCAAGUUCUAGAAUAACAGUUCGAUAUUGACACACUCAAAACAAUAAUAAAAGUGAGCAUGACAGAAUUAAUAGAUGCUCAAAAGGCUCAAAAAUCUCACAAAAAUUAUGGCUUUUUGAUGUUUAAAACUUGUGAAUUCUAACUCAAAGUAAUACAUAACUUUGGGGAAACAACCUAAAAUUUUAAAUUCUUAAAAAUUAACUUACCAUGCUUGAUUCUUUAAUGUCUUAAAGUUUAAACAAUCAAUGCAUAAAUGCCUAUGUUUUAAUAAAUCAAUCAUCAUCAUAAAUCAAUCAAAAUUUAUCCUAAAUACGAUAUGAGAGCUUUCCAAGAGAACAAGACACUCAUUCAGGGAUUUUUCUGAUAAUGAAAUAAAUAUCCCCCCACACUUAAGAUGUACAUUGCCCUUAAUGUACAAAGAUAGAUAUUAGAAUAUAAAAAUAAGAUAGGGAGAGAAGUGAAACUUCCUGUAUGAUGAAUUCCUCGAACUGGAGUUUUGGAGAGUAAUCGGUGCGAGAGUGGAGGAGGAUACUCCAGCGAUGGUAGAGGUUCAUUAGUCCAUAAGUCCUGCGCCAAAAGAAUGUUAUAUCUAGUGGUAGCUAUGGUCGUGGUCAAUCAGGACAUGGCAGUCAUGGAGAACCUUUCUCGGUGGAGUUUUUAGUUCCUAUAUGAUGAUAAGCUUAAGAGCUUUAUAUAACUGUGAUAAGAUCAGGAGCUUUUUAGGGGAUAUUAGGAAGAAAAAUUACUCAUAAAGAAAUAACCGAAAUUCAUAAUUAAAAAUAAAAAGUAGUUUUAAUAAAAAUUAAAAACAUAAAAUAAUAAAUAAAUAUUUUUAAACAUCUUCAUCGCUGGAUGGUUCGCGAGGUGGGACUGGUGAUGAGAUGUGGAGGUGCUAACAAAUCUGCUGUAGAGUGGCAUCAAUGUUGUCAAAUUGUUGAAAGCACUGUUGCUCGAACCGAGUGAGGGGCUCAGAGAUAUCAGCAUAUGAAGCUGCCGCACAAACUGGAUGAGAGGGUGGCGAUGGCUGGGAUGGUGGGUCCUUUUGCUGCGGAGGGACAUCAUCAGGAAUGUCCUCGUAGGCCUCCUCCUCAGUAGAUUAGGCGAGACGAUAUUGAGGAGGGUAGGUUCCUCAGUGCUUUUCGAUCAUCCUCCUGCUAAGCAUGCUUGAGAUGCCUUGUGGAGACAUCUGGCCAAUGAGGGUUAAGGAUGAUUCUUGGGUUGCGGUGCUGAGGAGCCUGAAGUGUCGAGUCAACCGAGGAACAUAGGGGCCAAUGGAGAUGACCCCCUUCCUAUGCCACUUCAUCUGGUGCUGAAUCGCGAGGGCGAUGAAAUAGGCAAGGUUGAUGACGUGCCCGUGCGACAUGCACCAUAAAAAGUAGGCAUCGUGAGUGUUGAUGACGCCGGUGCUCUCUCGCCUUCCUGUAAUCGUGUGAGCCAAAAUGGCGUGUAAGUGCUUCAGAGAUGGUAGGAGAACUGAUGCCUUGGAGCGGCUAGGAUUGUAGGAGGCAGCGCCAGGGGCCAAAGUGUGCCAGCACUUCGAGGGAGAGAAGUGUAUGUGGCGAGUGAGAGCAUGUAGUUCAUUCUCCUCCUUAAACUCCUCCGUAUAUAAGCACAGUGUAGCACUAAACUCUGGGACACUUAGCUGGCGGAUUAAUUCGCUUAGGCAAAAUUGGACCGUGCCGGGAUCAUCGUAGUUUGUCAUUACGGUAUGAAGAUAGAACGUUGAGCAUAGUUCCAUCGUAAGCUCGAGGUAUGUUGGCUCGAUGAUCCCAAAGAACAGCUCCUAAGGGUCGGUGGUUAGGAGGGCCUGAAUCGCAUCAGCCAACUGAACUUGUUCUACGGCAGCCCAGUCGAUGCAACGGCCCGCAAUUAAAGGUUAGGCCUGAAGUAUUUGGAAAAUUUCUUCUUGGGGCCCUUGAGGGAACUGUAGGAGAGGGUGAUGAAUUUCCAUGGUUAGACCCGCAAAAGAUGACGCUCCCUUCCUCUUCUUCGAAGCACGUACGGCGGUUUUCUUUCCUCGUGAAGACAACAUGGUACCUAAAAUCAAAACCAUUAAUUCAUCUUCAGGGAUGAUCAACGUAAAAUGAAGACAAAUUUCAAAUAAAAAUCAGAAUUUUAGCCACAACUAUUAAUAUUAACCAAACAUUACCAGCAUAAUUUCGUGACAUUAUCAUUGUAAUGGCAUGAGAAUGGGCAUAGUAAAGGCAUGUGUAUGACAAAAGAGUGAGGCUUUAACAACUCGAUUUAACAUGAAAUGUAUGAUAAAUAAUCUAAUAAUGCAGAAAUAAUGAACAGAAUGGAAAUAGUAAGAGAAAAAUAAAGAUUAUUUUAAAAAUAAACAUUAAAAGUAAGUAGAAUAGAGGUGAAAAGAGUAAACAAACGCUAAGGAAGAGAAAUCGGGCAUCAAAAAUGGAGUUAGAGGCGGCGCACGGGUGUGGCAGGGAGGCCGUGUGGACUUGCAGCGGCUAGGAUUAGGGUUUUUGAAUGGGGAAGAAAGUGAAUAGUGCAGGGUAUUUAUAGAUUUUGGGCCACACGGCAAGGGCACACGCCCGUGUUCCCUAAUUUUUGCCCGUGUGUUUCGCGUUUUUCCUAUUUGAGCGCGUCUGAAAUUUGUCCCACGCCCGUGUACCUUGGGCGUGUGGGUGCACACGACCAUGUUGCACGAUCCUGUCUAGCUUCGUUCGCUUCUCCCAUACCCGUGUAUGCAAGGUCCAUGCCCGUUUUAAUUUAACAAGUUCGACCACGGGUACUAGAGACUAGCGUGUCGCACGCCCAUGCUGUUUUAACAGGUUCACCCACGGUUCUUCCACACGGGUGUGUCGCACGCUUGUGUUAUUUUGGCAGGUUCGACCACGGCCAUGUUGCACGGCCGUGGCAUUUUAUCGUAGCCCAUGUGGGGAAAUCUUUUGCCUUGUUUUCACACGCCCCUAAGCAUGCCCGUGUGCUUGGUCGUGUCUCUGUGGAAAACCUGUUAUUCAAGAGCUCUGUUAGUAAGUUAGGUGUUGAAGACUAAAUUUUAAAGAAGUUAAUACAAUUAGUGCUCGGGUUGCCUCCCAAGAAGCACUUAUUUAUAGUCUAAGCUUGACUUACCUCUCUGUUGAAUGAUCAUGAUGGUUUGAGGAGUUUAUACUCCUCAUUCCUACUACCAAUCUCAUCAAAAUAAGGUUUUAAACGAGUGUUGUUUACCUUAAAAGUGCCGAACUUGGGAUGACUCACCUCGACCGUACAAAAUAAGAAAAUGCUGAGUACCGUAAGAGGGAUUUGUUCAUUCGAUGUGGUAGCGACAAUGUGGGGAUCUGCGGCAUCUAAUAAGACUCUAUCUCCAACCUUAAGUUAUUUGGAAAGGUAUUGAGCUCGUUCUGUUGUAGAUUCGGUUUGUCGGGUGUUCUUGGUUUAUACGUCUAUCAUUCAUCUAGCUCCUCGAUUUGUAGCCUUCAAUCUUCAUGAAUAGGUCCUCUACUAUUGCUUGAGAAUGGCUCAUGUACUUCCUUCAGACUCAUUUCCUGUAAAGAAGGUUACACCAUAUUCUCAAUUUUAGUAGAACGGUUUAGAUGAUCAUCUUCAAUUUCCAAUGUGUUGCCGGAAUUGCGAGCUUGAAGGGUGAUUGUUUCGUCUCCCACAUGGAGUGUGAGUUCACUUGUGCCAACCUUAAUAAUUGUUUUAGCAGUUGCUAAAAAGGGCCUUCCUAGAAUCAAAUGAGUGUUGCUAUCUUCCUCUAUGUCUAGAAUAAUGAAGUCAACGGGAAAUAUAAAUUUUUCGAUUUUAACUAGCACAUCUUCAAUAAUACCCCUAGGGAAUCUUAUAGUUUUAUCUGCUAAUUGAAUGCUAAUUGAAUGCUCAUCCUAGUCUGUUUGGGUUUCCUGAGACCUAGUUGCUUAAACAUUUUGUAAGGCAUGACGUUGAUACUAGCCCCUAAAUCAGCUAAUGCAUUAUUAUCAUCUAAACUACCAAUUAAGCAAGGAAUCAUAAAACUCCCUAGAUCUUUUAAUUUGUUCGGUAGCUUAUUUUGCAGAAUAGCUGAGCACACUGCGUUUAGCUCCACAUGCGACGCCUCGUCCAACUUCCUCUUAUUUGCUAAAAGCUCCUUUAAAAAUUUCAUUGCAUUUGGCAUCUGUGAUAGAGCUUCAAUAAACGGUAAGUUAAUGUGUAAUUUUUUUAAGAGUUUAAGGAAUUUACCAAAUUGUUCAUCUGAGCGGCCUUUCCUUGUCGCGUUGGGGUAUGGUACACGAGGUUUAUAUUUGACAUUCACUGAUUUGUUUUUAUUAUGACCUACCUUACCUUGACCUUUGUUUAGCACAGUUUCUUGCCUCGGUUCUGGUUCAGGCUCAAUGACUCAUUUGUCAUCUUGAAUAUUAAUCGCGUUGAGCUGUUCCCUUGGGUUAGGUUCAGUAUUACUUGGCAAGCUACCUUGUGGUCAUUCAGAGAUUAGUUUAGAAAGCUGGCCUAUAUGAGUUUCGAGCCCUUGGAUUGACGCUUGUUGAUUUUUAAGUGCCAUUUCGGUGUUCUAAAAAUGGGUUUCUGAUACCAAAUAAACUUUGUGAGCUUCUCUUUAAGGUUCGGUUUCUUUUCCUGUUGAUAGGGUGGCUGUUGGUAGCCUAGAGGUGGUCCCUGAUUUCCUUGGCCUCCCCAUGAGAAAUUUGGGUGGUUCCUCUAACCUGUAUUAUAAGUGUUACUAUAUGGAUAUUUUGAGGUCGAAGAUUAUUACCCAUGUAAUUUAAUUGCUCGUUAUCCAUGUUGUAGCCAUAAGGUUGGUAUUCCGAAUGGCUUGUUCCACCUCCACUUGCUUCACACUGCAUUACUGGGUGAACCUGUGAAGAACUAAGAAAACCAUCAAUUUUUUUAUUCAAAAGUUCUACCUGAUUAGAGAGCAUGGUGACUGAAUCUACGUUAUAAACAUCGGCUGUUUUCGUUGGCUUUGUCCUCAUGACUUGCCACUGCAUUACUCAGGUGUUUUAUUAUUGAUGGUUCCGCUAGCAGCUGCGUCAACCAUUUGCCGAGUCGAAGGAUUCAGGCCAUUAUGGAAUGUUUGAACCUGAAGCCAAAGCGGUAACCCUUGGUGAGGGCACCUUCUCAAAAGGUUCUUGUAUCUCUCUCAUGCAUCAAAGAGUGUUUCUAAAUCCAUCUGCACAAAAGAAGAGAUAUCAUUAUGUAAUUUAGCCAUUUUAGCCGACGAAAAAUAUUUUAGUAAAAAUUUCUCGGUCAUUUGUUCCCAAGUUGUAAUUGACCCUCGUGGUAACGAGUUCAACCACUUUUUUAGCUUUGUUCCUCAAUGAGAAAGGGAAUAACCGAAGACGAAUGACAUCGUCAGAAACGCCAUUAAUUUUAAAUGUAUCGCAUAGAUUCAAAAAGUUUGCUAAGUGAGCGUUGGGAUCUUCAUCCUGCAAACCAUCAAACUGAAAAAACUGUUGUAUCAUUUGAAUUACGUUAGGUUUCAGUUCAAAAGUAUUUGCAGCUAUAGCAGGUCUAACUAUGCUUGAUUCAGUUCCUGUUAAAGAAGGUUUAGCAUAAUCAUACAUAGUGCGUGGAACAAGAUUUUGAUUAGCCGCAAUUGCAGGAGGUAGCUGAUUGUCUUGGUGUUCAGCCAUCUCUUCGGUUGGGGGUUGAGUAUCGUCUUCUUGCUCGUUCUCUGUGUAUCUUAGGCUUCGCCUUAUUUCUCUUUGGUUUCUGCGAAUUGUGCGAUUGACUUCUUCGUCAAAAAGUAGUGGUCCUAACGGGUUUCUUCUAGUCAUAAACUAUAAAAAACCUGCCAGAAGAAAGAAAAAGAAAAUUAGUAAAUUAGAAUGAAAUUAAAAAUAAAAUUAGAUUGCAAGAAAAUAAAUGGCUAAAGUAAUAAAAAUUAAGUGUUCCUAAUAUUUUAGUUCCCCGGUAACGGCGCCAAAAACUUGAUCGUGUGAUUUCGUAAUAGGUUUUAAAUAUUUAUAAUUAAUCGUUCUUGAAACUAACUAUUAUCGCGAUGUAGGCAAGUGUACCUAUUGAACAGUAGUAAAGUUUUAGCAAGACCAGAUUGUCGAACCCAAAGGAACUAAAAGUACUAGUAAUGACUGUCUUUUUAUUAUCUAGCCUAGGAAUAAAGAGGUUUUGUUUUAACUAACUAAUUAUCUAAACUAAGAACUCACAGAGAAUAGAAUUGGGGAAUUGCUUUUGGGAAAAUCGAUUGACUGCACUUGUUAUUCUGGAUCUGAAUCAGACGAUUUAUUCAUUUAACUUGUUCCGUAGAGAUCCUUAAGUUAUGUUAUUAUCCAUAUUCAAGACUAAUAACGUCUAAUCCCUAGAUUGAAUAAUUGAGACCUUUCUCUAAUUAACACCCUAGGGUUGCAUUAACUCGAUCUAUGGAUCCCCUCAUUCGGUUUCACCCUAAUUCGAAAAAAAUCUUGUCACCCUAUGUCUAGGCGCGCAAACAACUCCGCUUAAUUAUGACAAAUGUACUCUUAGACAGGGUCUAUUCCUCCUCUGAAUAAGAGCUUAUCUUGAAUCAGUAUCCUGGGAUAUCAAAACAAGAAUUAAGAACACAUAAUUAAGAACAAGUUAAAUAUUUAUCAUACAAUUCAGAAAAUAAUAACAAGAUUCGUCUUAGGUUUCAUUCCCCUUAGGGGAUUUAGUUUAUAACUAAAUAAGAAAACAUAUCAGAAAAAUAAAGAAUACAAAACAUAAAGAAAACUCAAAACUCUGAAGGGGAAAUUGAAGAGAGAUCUUCAGUCUUGAUGAUGAAUCCGGCUUCUGAGAUGGAUCAAUCGGCUUUCUUGGAGUAAUUCCUUAAUCCCUAUUCUGUGUGUCCUCUUUCUUCCUCCUCUAGGGUGUAUUUAUAGGCUUUAGGAUGCCUAAGAGCCCUCAAAAGUGACCUUUUCCGAAUUGGACUCAACUUGGGCUCGGUAGGGACACGCCCGUGUGUGAUUAUUUAAGUCCAUGUUCGAGCCUGUUAGAAUGGCAUUGGCUUGUGUUCUACCCGUGUGAGUCGUGCUUCGGUUCUACCAAAUUGACACGGCCGUGUGGGUGGCCCGUGUGAGGAAGUCCAAGUCGUGUUGACUUUGUACUUUGGCCCAUUUUCUCUAUUUUUGGCCCGUUUCUCGUUCCUUUCACUCUCCUAUGCUCUUCUAAGUAUAAAACAUGAAAUUAAAGCAUUAGGAGCAUCGAAUUCACCAAUUCUAAUGGGAAAUCAUCCAUAAAAUGCGUUUAACAUUGGGUAAAAAUAUGUAUAAAUUACAGUUUAUUAGUUAUAAUUUCAUUUCAAAUGUAUUCUAUAGGCUUUGAUACAAUAUAAAUUGCAAUUAUGUGACUACGAAUAAUUUUGGAAAUGAUUCGAUGAUAAUUCGACGAUUGGAAUGCCAGUUGAACCUUAGGAAUAGUUUAGGAUACUAGUGACAUGUCAUUAGCAGAUACAGUGAGUUGGGUUUGGGCCAUGAUAUAACAAUUCGGGUGCGAGAUAAACCAAUUUGGCUUUGGGCCAUGCAUAUCGGCUGAUUUGGCUUCAGGCUAUGAUAUCUAUAUUUCACAGAUAAAUUACUUUGAUUUGGCUACGGGCAAUAGUAUAGGUACUUAUCGUGUGAGACCCUUGAGUGUCCGACUUCUAUUCUGAAUGGUUCAACGGGUAAAUGAAAGACGAGAAUGUGUAUGAGAUUAGCAUGAGAUGGUACAGGUAUGUGCAUAAACCAUAUUAGCUUUGAAUCAAAGAAAUGGCGAAGAAAGUAUAUAGUUUAGUGAAUGAGUUAUUGAAAGGUUUGUUAGUUGAUGUGAAUUCUUACACUCAUGAUCAAUAGUUGAAUUAAGUGUUAUGAUUAUAUAGAGUUUAUGUCAUACGAGCUUACUAAGCUUUAUAGCUUACUUUGUUUAUUUUUCUAUGUUUUAUAGUGAAUUCAAAGCUAGCUCUGAUUCGGGGAUCGUCGGAGACAUCGUCACACUAUCCAUCUAUCUCUCGUUACCUAUGAACUUUGGCAUUAUAAGUACAUGGUAUAUAUAGGGAUUUUGAGUCAUUUUGGUUUUGUUUUGAUAAUGAUUUUGGCCAUUUGAUUUGGCUUGUAAAUUUAUAUGUUUUGGUUUGUAUAUAUAUAGCCAUGUGAUUUGGCUUCGGAUGGUGAAUUUGAUGAUGUAUAUAAAUGUGUAAAUGGCUUUUGCUUUUAUUUGGUAAUUGACCUAUGUUGUGUGAUUGAGAUUGGAUUCAUGAUGCUUAUUGAUAUUAGG